rnacentral:lncRNA from 1 species
UCACAGUAGAAAGAAAGAAGAAAUAAAAUAAAAAUAUAAUCAAAUACGUGGAUCAGCUAAAAGGCUUGCCUCCAUAGAGCAUACAAGUUUCACUAUAAAAAAAAAUUAUAAGAGGAGAUCACACCUUCAACCGUCAUGCACCCAAUCUCUCUCUCAACAAGAAGCUCUCCCUCACAAAAGCUCUCUCUAGGAAGACCCUCCGAACCCCUGAAGUGAUCGUUGUCCGCUGCCUGAUGUCUGCCUGAAACACUCCUAUCUUUGUGCUCUGUCGAUGCUCUUCAGGAUUUGCUACUACUGUUGCCGAACUCACUCUCGACUGAGUCUCAAGAUUCUAUCGAACUCACCACCAUGCUCUCUGUUUUACCACAGGCCU